UGACGGCCACAUCACGUUGAAGCACCGGUUCCCAUACGAUCGCCGAAGUUAAGCAGCGUCGAGUCUGGUCAUUACCUAGAUGGGUGACCGCUUGGGAAGAGCGGGUACU